rnacentral:rRNA from 1 species
UACGUAGGGGGCAAGCGUUGUCCGGAUUUAUUGGGCGUAAAGAGCGUGUAGGCGGCCAGAUAGGUCAGCUGUGAAAACUCGAGGCUCAACCUCGAGAUGUCGGCUGAAACCAUCUGGCUAGAGUCCGGAAGAGGAGAGUGGAAUUCCUGGUGUAGCGGUGAAAUGCGCAGAUAUCAGGAAGAACACCAAUGGCGAAAAGCAGCUCUCUGGGGACGGUACUGGACGCUGAGGCACGAAAGCGUGGGGAGCAAACAGG